UUUCCGUAGGUGAACCUGCGGAAGGAUCAUUAACGAGUUAGGGUCUUCUAGGCCCGACCUCCCAACCCUUUGUCUACUGAACCUCUGUUGCUUCGGCGGGCCCGUCUCACGACCGCCGGAGGAGCGCUGAAAGGCGUCUCCUCUGGCCCGUGCCCGCCGAUGGCCAACUACAAAACUCUGCGUAAAUCGUGUCUUAUGUCUAAGUCCAUGAUCAAAUUAAAAGCAAAACUUUCAACAACGGAUCUCUUGGUUCUGGCAUCGAUGAAGAACGCAGC
rnacentral:misc_RNA from 1 species